GUGAGGAAUAUUGCGCAAUGGAGGCAACUCUGACGCAGCCAUGCCGCGUGCAGGAAGAAGGCGCUACGCGUUGUAAACUGCUUUUAACCGGGAAGAAACCCCAGGACGUGUCCUGGGUUGACGGUACCGGAGGAAUAAGCACCGGCUAACUUCGUGCCAGCAGCCGCGGUAAUACGAAGGGUGCAAGCGUUAUCCGGAUUCAUUGGGUUUAAAGGGUGCGUAGGCGGAGCGUUAAGUCAGUGGUGAAAUCCUGCAGCUUAACUGUAGACUUGCCAGUGAUACUGGCGCUCUUGAGUGCGCUUGAAGUGGGCGGAAUGUGCCGUGUAGCGGUGAAAUGCUUAGAUAUGGCACAGAACACCAAUUGCGAAGGCAGCUCACUAAGGCGAUACUGACGCUGAGGCACGAAAGCGUGGGGAUCGAACAGGAUUAGAAACCCGGGUAGUCC
rnacentral:rRNA from 1 species